GAUGAACGCUAGCGGCAGGCCUAAUACAUGCAAGUCGAGCGGCAAGUCGAGGAGUAAUCUGAGACCUAGAGCGGCGUACGGGUGCGUAACGCGUAUGCAACCUACCUCAUACAGGGGGAUAGCCCGGAGAAAUCUGGAUUAAUACCCCAUAGCACAGCACAAGGGCAUCUGCGAGCUGUUAAAGAUUCAUCGGUAUGAGAUGGGCAUGCGUCUGAUUAGCUAGUUGGCGGUGUAACGGACCACCAAGGCGACGAUCAGUAGGGGUUCUGAGAGGAAGGUCCCCCACACUGGCACUGAGAUACGGGCCAGACUCCUACGGGAGGCAGCAGUAGGGAAUAUUGGGCAAUGGACGAGAGUCUGACCCAGCCAUGCCGCGUGCAGGAAGAAGGCCUUCUGGGUUGUAAACUGCUUUUAUCUGGGAAGAAAAGGCCCAUGCGUGGGACAUUGCCGGUACCAGAUGAAUAAGCACCGGCUAACUCCGUGCCAGCCGCCGCGGUAA
rnacentral:rRNA from 1 species